rnacentral:rRNA from 1 species
UACGGAGGGUGCAGGCGUUAUCCGGAUUUACUGGGUUUAAAGGGAGCGCAGGCGGAUUAGUAAGACAGUGGUGAAAGCCUUGAGCUUAACUCGAGAACUGCCAUUGAUACUAUUAGUCUUGAAUGUUGUUGAGGUUUGCGGAAUGGGUCAUGUAGCGGUGAAAUGCAUAGAUAUGACUUAGAACACCAAUUGCGAAGGCAGCUUGCUAAACAAAUAUUGACGCUGAGGCACGAAAGCGUGGGGAUCAAACAGU